rnacentral:misc_RNA from 1 species
UCAAAACAGCGGCCUUCGGGCCUCGCUGCACCCUUGUCUUUUGCGCACCGUAUUGUUUCCUCGGCGGGCUUGCCUGCCGGUUGGACAUCAUAAAACCUUUUUGUAGUUGCAAUCAGCGUCAGAAAAACAAUAACUAUUA